rnacentral:rRNA from 1 species
GGCGAGGGGAGUGAAAAAGAACCUGAAACCGUGUACGUACAAGCAGUGGGAGCCUCUUUUAUGGGGUGACUGCGUACCUUUUGUAUAAUGGGUCAGCGACUUAUAUUCUGUAGCAAGGUUAACCGAAUAGGGGAGCCGAAGGGAAACCGAGUCUUAACCGGGCGUUAAGUUGCAGGGUAUAGACCCGAAACCCGGUGAUCUAGCCAUGGGCAGGUUGAAGGUUGGGUAACACUAACUGGAGGACCGAACCGACUAAUGUUGAAAAAUUAGCGGAUGACUUGUGGCUGGGGGUGAAAGGCCAAUCAAACCGGGAGAUAGCUGGUUCUCCCCGAAAGCUAUUUAGGUAGCGCCUCGUGAAUUCAUCUCCGGGGGUAGAGCACUGUUUCGGCAAGGGGGUCAUCCCGACUUACCAACCCGAUGCAAACUGCGAAUACCGGAGAAUGUUAUCACGGGAGACACACGGCGGGUGCUAACGUCCGUCGUGAAGAGGGAAACAACCCAGACCGCCAGCUAAGGUCCCAAAGUCAUGGUUAAGUGGGAAACGAUGUGGGAAGGCCCAGACAGCCAGGAUGUUGGCUUAGAAGCAGCCAUCAUUUAAAGAAAGCGUAAUAGCUCACUGGUCGAGUCGGCCUGCGCGGAAGAUGUAACGGGGCUAAACCAUGCACCGAAGCUGCGGCAGCGACACUGUGUGUUGUUGGGUAGGGGAGCGU